GGGACGUUAGCUCAGUUGGUAGAGCAGCGGACUUUUAAUCCGUUGGUCGCAGGUUCGAAUCCUGCACGUCCUA
rnacentral:tRNA from 2 species